rnacentral:lncRNA from 1 species
GAAAAAAUUAACUGAUAAGAAUUCUAUGAGAAUUUGAACGUGUUAGCUCCGAGUAGCUAGCCACAUUUGGUACGCCUCGUCGUAUCUUCUGUCUCCCAUACGUCGAAGAGUUGUGAUCCGGUUUCUGACUUGUUUAUCUAUCCACUUUGUGAUGAGUGGUUCCGAGUGUUGAUCCUCGCCGUGCCUACGACCAUUUCGCUCCCGCCAUAUCAUGUAAACAGUAGUUUGAAGAGCGUAUCGAAUUAGGAAGCUCUCCACUCUGCCUCGUUGAUUAUUUGAAACAUGAUCGAUGAGUUGUGACCAGCCUG